GGCGAGUGAACAGGGAAAAGCUCAAACUGAAAAUCGGCAGUUUACUGUCGAAUUGUAGUCUCACGAAGUGCAGCCUGUGAUUAUUCUAGGUUAAGUCUCUUGGAAAAGAGUACCGAAGAGGGUGAAAGUCCCGUCUUUGCCUAGAGAUAUUCACGUUCGGUGCAUUUUCAAAGAGUCGCGUUCCUUGAGAUUGGAGCGCUAAUCAGGUGAUAAAUUUCAUCUAAAGCUAAAUACUAACGAGAUCCCGAUAGCAUACAAGUACUGUGAAGGAAAGAUGAAAAGGACUUUGAAAAGAGAGUUAAAAGGAACUGAAAUUGCUGAAAGGGAAGUGGAGAGUUCUGACUGUCUGGCAAUUCUCUAUACUUGAUACAAUCUCGAUUGCUACUCGAGUACUAGAGUUCUGCAAUGACUCUGGAAGUGGUUUCCUUCGCUAAGUAAAAUACUGAUGUGAAUUCGUUUACUUCUUUAUUGUUUUUAGCUUGGGUGAUCUUAACUCUAUUGUGACACGCAUGUGGUUACACUACA
rnacentral:rRNA from 1 species